rnacentral:rRNA from 1 species
UACGGAGGGUGCAAGCGUUACUCGGAAUCACUGGGCGUAAAGCGCGCGCAGGCGGCUAGAUAAGUUGGAAGUGAAAUCCUAUGGCUCAACCAUAGAACUGCUUCCAAAACUGUUUAGCUAGAGUCUGGGAGGGGAAGAUGGAAUUAGUAGUGUAGGGGUAAAAUCCGUAGAGAUUACUAGGAAUACCAAAAGCGAAGGCGAUCUUCUGGAACAGUACUGACGCUGAGGCGCGAAAGCGUGGGGAGCAAACAGGAUUAGAUACCCUGGUAGUCCACGCCCUAAACGAUGAAUGUUAGUCGUCGGGACUCUAGUAGUUUCGGUGAUGCAGUUAACACAUUAAACAUUCCGCCUGGGGAGUACGGUCGCAAGAUUAAAACUCAAAGGAAUAGACGGGGACCCGCACAAGUGGUGGAGCAUGUGGUUUAAUUCGAAGAUACGCGAAGAACCUUACCUAGCCUUGACAUAUUUUAGAACUCCGCAGAGAUGUAGAGGUGCCUUCGGGGGCUAAUAUACAGGUGCUGCACGGCUGUCGUCAGCUCGUGUCGUGAGAUGUUGGGUUAAGUCCCGCAACGAGCGCAACCCUCGUUCUUAGUUACUAACGGUUCGGCCGAGGACUCUAAGAAGACUGCCUUCGUAAGGAGGAGGAAGGUGAGGACGACGUCAAGUCAUCAUGGCCCUUACGGCUAGGGCAACACACGUGCUACAAUGGUUAGGACAAUGAGACGCAAUACCGCGAGGUGGAGCAAAUCUAUAAACCUAAUCUCAGUUCGGAUUGUAGUCUGCAACUCGACUACAUGAAGCUGGAAUCACUAGUAAUCGUAGAUCAGCUAUGCUAC